rnacentral:piRNA from 1 species
UACAAAUUCAGUUCUUGGUACCAUUUCAGC